UCGAACGAUAGCAAUUAAAAGGGAAUCAGGUGUAAAUCCUGAACAGUCCCGCUGCUGUAAGUUUCAAUCAGAUGUUAUGAGCUUAUCUCCUAUUUGCCACUGGAAGAGAUUCCGGGAAGGCGCUCACUAACAGAAACAAGUCAGAAGACCUGCCAUGUAACUA
rnacentral:ncRNA from 1 species